GCCCGGAUCGCAUAACGGUAUUGCACAAGCCUGGAAAGCUUGACCCUUCGGGGUGCCCAGGUUCGACUCCUGGUCCGGGCG
rnacentral:tRNA from 1 species